rnacentral:ncRNA from 17 species
UCUGUCAGGGGCGAUGAAGUCCGCCGUAACCGCCUUACCCUAAAGGCUGAUGACUUCUGUUUUAUG